rnacentral:misc_RNA from 1 species
GUAGAAUCGAUCAUUUUCAAGGUAAAAUCGAAGUGGUCUGAAUCCCUUCCUGAACCACCGAUUCUCCAUGAUUUCGGGGAUGGUGAUCCGAGUAGCCGGAUUAAUAUCAAGGAGACGAGUCAAAAGCUUGGAUAUAUAAGGUGAGAACCAUCGAGGACAGCGGAAUUCGCCUUUAUGUAUCUUUCGGUACAUCACCAUAAGAUUCUGAUCUUGAAAUGGGAGGUAACCUGCCAUCAGGACGAAGAGAAC